rnacentral:rRNA from 1 species
GAGUUUGAUCCUGGCUCAGGAUGAACGCUGGCGGCGCGCCUAACACAUGCAAGUCGAACGGCACCCCUCUCCGGAGGGAAGCGAGUGGCGAACGGCUGAGUAACACGUGGAGAACCUGCCCCCUCCCCCGGGAUAGCCGCCCGAAAGGACGGGUAAUACCGGAUACCCCCGGGCGCCGCAUGGCACCCCGGCUAAAGCCCCGACGGGAGGGGAUGGCUCCGCGGCCCAUCAGGUAGACGGCGGGGUGACGGCCCACCGUGCCGACAACGGGUAGCCGGGUUGAGAGACCGACCGGCCAGAUUGGGACUGAGACACGGCCCAGACUCCUACGGGAGGCAGCAGUGGGGAAUCUUGCGCAAUGGGGGGAACCCUGACGCAGCGACGCCGCGUGCGGGACGGAGGCCUUCGGGUCGUAAACCGCUUUCAGCAGGGAAGAGUCAAGACUGUACCUGCAGAAGAAGCCCCGGCUAACUACGUGCCAGCCGCCGCGGUAAUAC